rnacentral:rRNA from 4 species
AAAUUGAAGAGUUUGAUCAUGGCUCAGAUUGAACGCUGGCGGCAGGCCUAACACAUGCAAGUCGAACGGUAACAGGAAGCAGCUUGCUGCUUCGCUGACGAGUGGCGGACGGGUGAGUAAUGUCUGGGAAACUGCCUGAUGGAGGGGGAUAACUACUGGAAACGGUGGCUAAUACCGCAUAACGUCGCAAGACCAAAGAGGGGGACC